AAAUUGAAGAGUUUGAUCAUGGCUCAGAUUGAACGCUGGCGGCAGGCCUAACACAUGCAAGUCGAACGGUAACAGGAAGCAGCUUGCUGCUUCGCUGACGAGUGGCGGACGGGUGAGUAAUGUCUGGGAAACUGCCUGAUGGAGGGGGAUAACUACUGGAAACGGUGGCUAAUACCGCAUAACGUCGCAAGACCAAAGAGGGGGACCUUCGGGCCUCUUGCCAUCAGAUGUGCCCAGAUGGGAUUAGCUUGUUGGUGAGGUAACGGCUCACCAAGGCGA
rnacentral:rRNA from 3 species